GUAGGGAAUAUUGGGCAAUGGAGGCAACUCUGACCCAGCCAUGCCGCGUGCAGGAUGACGGCCCUCUGGGUUGUAAACUGCUUUUAUACGGGAAGAAAAAAUACUACGUGUAGUAUACUGACGGUACCGUAAGAAUAAGGAUCGGCUAACUACGUGCCAGCAGCCGCGGUAAUACGGAGGAUCCAAGCGUUGUCCGGAUUUAUUGGGUUUAAAGGGUGCGUAGGCGGAUCUUUAAGUCAGUGGUGAAAGCCUGCAGCUUAACUGUAGAAUUGCAAUUGAAACUGAAGAUCUUGAAUGUGGUUAAAGUAGGCGGAAUGUAUCAUGUAGCGGUGAAAUGCUUAGAUAUGAUACAGAACACCGAUAGCGAAGGCAGCUUGCUGAACCAUUAUUGACGCUGAGGCACGAAAGCGUGGGGAGCGAACAGGAUUAGAAACCCGAGUAGUCC
rnacentral:rRNA from 1 species